UGCUAGGUUCCGGGUGCCAGUCAACUCAGCGAUGAGCCAGGGAACCCGGUGAGACUCCGGGACUGACGCGCAGCGGUGAGGGUGACGGGCGGAGCACGAGGCCACUGGACCGGAGACGGUCCGGGAAGGCGCGCCGUCCGGUCGAUCCCGAGUCCGAAGACCUGCUGGCCGCCGACCGUCCGG
rnacentral:ncRNA from 2 species